CAAAUUCAAGGAUUAAAGUGGAACUUUGCCAUAAAUAUAAAUAGCCAUUUGUUUGACUUUUAAAUCAGAAUAUAGGCAUAAUUUACUCAGCUCUCAACCUCCAUCUUCAUCAACCUCUCAACCUAAAGCAUGCCAAAAUUUCAAUUGAUCAUAACUUGGUCAUUUUAGCUCGGAUUUGAUUGAUUCUCGCGGCUACGGAAAGAGGAGGAUGAUCUCUACGGAUUGAGCCCAGAAAAUUGAGACUUGACGAGACGACUACCAAUGGAACCCGAAACUUACGGAACGCGAGAUCACUAGGUAUUAUUGAAGAUUAUGGAUAGCAAGCGUGCGUUUUUCAGGUACCUAGAUUCUAGACGUGGCUAGAAGUCCUUCUUUGACCAGAGGUUCCUUUGGGCUAUGUACAGUCCCGACUUUCGUAGUUGCUGCAGUAGUGUGAUUCUGACCGGCGUCGUGGCCUAGCAUAUUAACAUGUUUUUAUGAUGUCUAUAGUUGUUGUCAUUAAAUAUACGCUUUGUUGGCUACGAUUAUUGUAUUUGUUCCACGGAGGUAGAUACCCGUGAAGUGACUUUGACACUAGUAGUUUAUACCGGGCUAGUACGUACCUGAUACGGAAACGAUAAGCCCGAGCAAGUUGUAAGACUUUACUAGUGUAUAUAAAUGUAUCUUUGUUUUGUUAAA